rnacentral:rRNA from 1 species
GUAGGGAAUCUUCCACAAUGGGCGCAAGCCUGAUGGAGCAACACCGCGUGAGUGAAGAAGGGUUUCGGCUCGUAAAACUCUGUUGUUAAAGAAGAACGUAUCUAAGAGUAACUGCUUAGGUAGUGACGGUAUUUAACCAGAAAGCCACGGCUAACUACGUGCCAGCAGCCGCGGUAAUACGUAGGUGGCAAGCGUUAUCCGGAUUUAUUGGGCGUAAAGCGAGCGCAGGCGGUUUUUUAAGUCUGAUGUGAAAGCCUUCGGCUUAACCGAAGAAGUGCAUCGGAAACUGGGAAACUUGAGUGCAGAAGAGGACAGUGGAACUCCAUGUGUAGCGGUGAAAUGCGUAGAUAUAUGGAAGAACACCAGUGGCGAAGGCGGCUGUCUGGUCUGUAACUGACGCUGAGGCUCGAAAGCAUGGGUAGCGAACAGGAUUAGAAACCCUUGUAGUCC